rnacentral:rRNA from 1 species
GGUCGUGAGUUCGAUGAGUAGGGCGGGACACGUGACAUCCUGUCUGAAUAUGGGGGGACCAUCCUCCAAGGCUAAAUACUCCUGACUGACCGAUAGUGAACCAGUACCGUGAGGGAAAGGCGAAAAGAACCCCGGCGAGGGGAGUGAAAUAGAACCUGAAACCGUGUACGUACAAGCAGUGGGAGCACCUUCGUGGUGUGACUGCGUACCUUUUUGUAUAAUGGGGUCAGCGACUUAUAUUUUUGUAGCAAGGUUAACCGUAUAGGGGAGCCGUAGGGAAACCGAGUCUUAACUGGGCGACUAGUUGCAAGGUAUAGACCCGAAACCCGGUGAUCUAGCCAUGGGCAGGUUGGAAGGUUGGGUAACACUAACUGGAGGACCGAACCGACUAAUGUUGAAAAUUAGCGGAUGAACUUGUGGCUGGGGGUGAAAGGCCAAUCAAACCGGGAGAUAGGCUGGAGUUCUCCCCGAAAGC